GACAGAGGUGCCAAGCGUUAGGCGGAAUCACUGGGCUUAAAGCGUGUGUAGGCGGAUCGUUAAGUACCUUGUGAAAUCCCACGGCUCAACCGUGGAACUGCUGGGCAUACUGGCGUUCUUGAGCCAGCCAGGGGUCGUCGGAACAAACGGUGGAGCGGUGAAAUGCGUAGAUAUCGGAAAGAACACCAACGGCGAAAGCACUCUGCUGGGCCGACACUGACACUGAGAGACGAAAGCUAGGGGAGCGAAUGGG
rnacentral:rRNA from 1 species